GAUGAACGCUGGCGGCGUGCCUAAUACAUGCAAGUCGAGCGAACGGACGAGAAGCUUGCUUCUCUGAUGUUAGCGGCGGACGGGUGAGUAACACGUGGAUAACCUACCUAUAAGACUGGGAUAACUUCGGGAAACCGGAGCUAAUACCGGAUAAUAUUUUGAACCGCAUGGUUCAAAAGUGAAAGACGGUCUUGCUGUCACUUAUAGAUGGAUCCGCGCUGCAUUAGCUAGUUGGUAAGGUAACGGCUUACCAAGGCAACGAUGCAUAGCCGACCUGAGAGGGUGAUCGGCCACACUGGAACUGAGACACGGUCCAGACUCCUACGGGAGGCAGCAGUAGGGAAUCUUCCGCAAUGGGCGAAAGCCUGACGGAGCAACGCCGCGUGAGUGAUGAAGGUCUUCGGAUCGUAAAACUCUGUUAUUAGGGAAGAACAUAUGUGUAAGUAACUGUGCACAUCUUGACGGUACCUAAUCAGAAAGCCACGGCUAACUACGUGCCAGCAGCCGCGGUAAUACGUAGGUGGCAAGCGUUAUCCGGAAUUAUUGGGCGUAAAGCGCGCGUAGGCGGUUUUUUAAGUCUGAUGUGAAAGCCCACGGCUCAACCGUGGAGGGUCAUUGGAAACUGGAAAACUUGAGUGCAGAAGAGGAAAGUGGAAUUCCAUGUGUAGCGGUGAAAUGCGCAGAGAUAUGGAGGAACACCAGUGGCGAAGGCGACUUUCUGGUCUGUAACUGACGCUGAUGUGCGAAAGCGUGGGGAUCAAACAGGAUUAGAUACCCUGGUAGUCCACGCCGUAAACGAUGAGUGCUAAGUGUUAGGGGGUUUCCGCCCCUUAGUGCUGUAGCUAACGCAUUAAGCACUCCGCCUGGGGAGUACGACCGCAAGGUUGAAACUCAAAGGAAUUGACGGGGACCCGCGCAAGCGGUGGAGCAUGUGGUUUAAUUCGAAGCAACGCGAAGAACCUUACCAAAUCUUGACAUCCUUUGACAACUCUAGAGAUAGAGCCUUCCCCUUCGGGGGACAAAGUGACAGGUGGUGCAUGGUUGUCGUCAGCUCGUGUCGUGAGAUGUUGGGUUAAGUCCCGCAACGAGCGCAACCCUUAAGCUUAGUUGCCAUCAUUAAGUUGGGCACUCUAAGUUGACUGCCGGUGACAAACCGGAGGAAGGUGGGGAUGACGUCAAAUCAUCAUGCCCCUUAUGAUUUGGGCUACACACGUGCUACAAUGGACAAUACAAAGGGCAGCGAAACCGCGAGGUCAAGCAAAUCCCAUAAAGUUGUUCUCAGUUCGGAUUGUAGUCUGCAACUCGACUACAUGAAGCUGGAAUCGCUAGUAAUCGUAGAUCAGCAUGCUACGGUGAAUACGUUCCCGGGUCU
rnacentral:rRNA from 1 species